CGUGGAUAACCUACCUAUAAGACUGGGAGUAACUUCGGGAAACCGGAGCUAAUACCGGAUAAUAUAUUGAACCGCAUGGUUCAAUAGUGAAAGACGGUUUUGCUGUCACUUAUAGAUGGAUCCGCGCCGCAUUAGCUAGUUGGUAAGGUAACGGCUUACCAAGGCAACGAUGCGUAGCCGACCUGAGAGGGUGAUCGGCCACACUGGAACUGAGACACGGUCCAGACUCCUACGGGAGGCAGCAGC
rnacentral:rRNA from 1 species